rnacentral:rRNA from 1 species
AGAACGAACGCUGGCGGCGUGCCUAACACAUGCAAGUCGAGCGAGAAAGUCUUCGGAUGAGUAAAGCGGCGGACGGGUGAGUAAUACGUAGGUAAUCUACCUUUCAGUGUGGAAUAACUAAGGGAAACUUUAGCUAAUACCGCAUUCGGUUUCAGAUCUUAUGGUCUAGAAAAUAAAGGGGGGUCUAAGAUCUCUCGCUGAUUGAUGAGCCUGCGUCCGAUUAGCUAGUUGGUAAGGUAAUGGCUUACAAGGCGACGAUCGGUAGCUGAUUUGAAGAGAAUGAUCAGCCACACUAGGAACUGACACACGGUCCAGACUCCGACGGGAGGCAGCGAGGUAGGGAAUAUUAGACAACGAAGGUACGGGGGAAACCCUGAGU